rnacentral:rRNA from 1 species
AUAUGAAUUAACUGUCUCAUUUGUACUUUAUAAAAUUUAUUUAAUAGGUGAAAAUUCCUAUAGUUAAUAAGAAGGACGAUAAGACCCUUAGAAUUAUUAAUAUAAGAUAUUUCUACAAUAUAUCAAUUAUUUUUGUUGGGGCGACAUAUUCUCAUAAUAACAUAAUAUAUGAAAAUUAAUUACAAGACAUACAUUAUUAGAAAGAUUUAAUUACCUAAGGGAUAACAGCAUAAUAUUACUGAUAUGUUUAUGACCUCGAUGUUGGACUAGGUAUAUUUAUGACUAGAAGUUAUAAAUAGUUGUUCUGUUCGAACAUUAACACCUACAUGAUCUGAGUUCAGACCG